UUUUGUGACCGACUAAAAAGAAAAGAGUAUCAAAUAAAUUGGGACGCAAAAGUAAUUGAGUAUACAGUAUUCGGCCUAUGAUAAUAAAUUAAUAUGAUUUAAUAUAAAUACUGUGACAUACAUAAUAUUUCAAUACUGUAGGGAUCUAGUAGCUCAGUUGGUUGACUAUCUCAACCCUCAAUCUCAAAUUAUAAUCUCUUCCCCAUUUCUCCUUUCCCUACCAAUAUGUAAAAUUAAAAAAAAUAUAUAUUUUUUAAUAGUACUAGUAAUAUACUGGGUGGUUGGGCAAAUAGAACUUCAAAACGUACCAGCCCUCGCCCUGCGGUUGGGUCAGUCUGUUUCUGUGAAUGGUCAAAAGUUUCAACUGACCUUCCUUUUGUGAUGACUACCAAACAAUUCAACUCAAAUCAAUAUUGGAAACAGUAGCUAGCAGCAACUUCCUCCACAAAAACUCCUGAAAAAUGCCCAUGCACUCUUCUUCUUCCCUUUCCCGGCACCAAAGGCCUAAUAACAACAACAAAGGCAAUGGCAAAUCCAUGUCAACUGAAGAAGAAGUGAAGCUUGCUGCUCUGGCAAUUAGCCUCAACGUACGGCUCAGAUCAGCAGAUAUGCCUUUUGCCAUGCAAGAACAUGCCCUUCCUUACGCUAGAAGUCUACUCCUCCAACCUGGAAUUCACCGCCCUAACCCAACCUUCCUUGCUCGCUCCCUCAAAAAGUGAAUGAAACUUUUGUGGAUUUUCGGAGUUUGAUUCGAUAUACGGACCAGCGUGGCACUGUGUGGUGGGGAAGAGUUUCGGAUCGUUUGUGACUCACUCGCCAGGUGGAUUUGUGUAUUUUUCGCUGAUUCAUUUUCUGCUUGCUGCUGUCGGUGGUUAGUUUCGUAAUCCGCAGUUACAACAGAUAUACUAGCUGCUAACUUCUUUUGGAGUUUUUUCACAAGCUAUUAGUGUACAUGAUAAUAUUGAUAUUUCUCUAAGAAAAGAAUUACAUGUAGCACACUGUUUCUUA